rnacentral:sRNA from 2 species
AGGCCUACAGAUGCUCUGUUCUCUUCAAAAUUUUACUAUGUCUCUAGAUGGUGUCUAUAUGUGCUUUGGUGCACUUUCCAUGAUUGAUGGACUGAAUAUGACUUGACUGGCCGACUUGAUCAAUCUUGCAAUGUCAUUGAAUAUCUGAUAGGUUAUGAUAUGGCACUCUUGAGCUGGCUUUUAUGUUAGGUGCUGAUUGCCAUGUGCACUGUCUUUUAGACAUGCAUUAUUAUUCUGAGAUAGUGAUCUGCUAAUGCCUCACUCUCUCACUUCUCUACGGAAACUACUGGCCCUUCCACCGCAUUGGGUGGGCUCUUGCUACUGGAUUUAUGAUGUGGACUGACCGCACAGGAUGAUUUCUCUAUUACCAAGCAGCCCCCUAGUCAGUCCAUGGGCCCCGCCCUUUGCGAUGGCACUCUGUCGCGGUAUGGUGGACGGGCGAAUCCAUCAGCAGGCUGUUUGAACACAUGACUAGUUGAAAUUGUUGUCCAAUUGAAAAAAUACUACCUGA